UACGUAGGGGGCAAGCGUUGUCCGGAAUUAUUGGGCGUAAAGAGCUCGUAGGCGGUUUGUCGCGUCUGCCGUGAAAGUCCGGGGCUCAACUCCGGAUCUGCGGUGGGUACGGGCAGACUAGAGUGAUGUAGGGGAGACUGGAAUUCCUGGUGUAGCGGUGAAAUGCGCAGAUAUCAGGAGGAACACCGGUGGCGAAGGCGGGUCUCUGGGCCGAUACUGACGCUGAGGAGCGAAAGUGUGGGGAGCGAACAGG
rnacentral:rRNA from 1 species